rnacentral:rRNA from 1 species
GAUGAACGCUGGCGGCGUGCCUAAUACAUGCAAGUCGAGCGAACAGAUCAGGAGCUUGCUCCUUUGACGUUAGCGGCGGACGGGUGAGUAACACGUGGGUAACCUACCUAUAAGACUGGGAUCACUUCGGGAAACCGGAGCUAACACCGGAUAAUAUUUCGAACCGCAUGGUUCGAUAGUGAAAGAUGGUUUUGCUAUCACUUAUAGAUGGACCCGCGCCGUAUUAGCUAGUUGGUAAGGUAACGGCUUACCAAGGCGACGAUACGUAGCCGACCUGAGAGGGUGAUCAGCCACACUGGAACUGAGACACGGUCCAGACUCCUACGGGAGGCAGCAGUAGGGAAUCUUCCGCAAUGGGCGAAAGCCUGACGGAGCAACGCCGCGUGAGUGACGAAGGUCUUCGGAUCGUAAAACUCUGUUAUUAGGGAAGAACAGACGUGUAAGUAACUGUGCACGUCUUGACGGUACCUAAUCAGAAAGACACGGCUAGCUACGUG